CUGUUUUUAAAUAGGGCUACCAGAAAGCAUUUGUCUUUAUCAUCCUAUUUUCAUACGCCAUUCUAUUUUAUAUGACCAAAACUGUUUUUAGUGGUGUAUUAACUUUGUUGGCUAUACUUGAAAGUUGAAACUGUCCGUUUACUUUCCCAAAGGAUAUUUGUUUUUCUCAAAUGUGUCGACAAGCUAGUCUGUAUUUCUUCUUUUUGUGUAUCUUAUUGCAGUUUGUAUAGCUCUUGGAAUUUCCGAAGAGACGCGAAGAAUAGAAAGUGUCUAUUGAGGGGCCCCAAAGGAAAAGAGCAUCCUCACAUUCUACUCAUUUUUCUCAUAUAAAAAAGACAUGUAACCUAGCAACAAUUGCAUGCCAAUUUUGAAAUGGCAAAUCUAUGCGACACCACCACGUUUCUAGUGAAAUCCUAGCUCAUGAAAACACGUGUACUGCAUCAUCUCUGCACUAAUAUUCACUUUCUUCACUCUUCAUCAACUGUAAUUAACUAAUUAUAGAACCAACUUUGUUAUUCUCUGAGUCUGUACUGCACAUCUAGCUUGGUAACCAAUAUGAGUGGCCAUCUCUUCCCCUUCAACACUUCCUUGAGGCCAUUCCUGGCCAAGCACUUGAGAGCAUGUGUCUACCAGCCCAUCAAGAGUUAUGCCCAAGCAAGCAAGCACAACGAUCCCCGUGAAAUAAUAGAAGAGAGGGCACCUUCAACCGCUAGACAAUUCAAAAAAAUGGCUGAGGAGAAGCUGAGGAAGGCCCAGCAAGGAGUGGCUA